CGAUCGUACAGGGGCAGAAGGCAAGGUGAAACCCUAGUUUCACCAACUUCAUCAAAUUCAGUAGGAAUCUCAAUGAAAAUCGGAUGCAUGAACCUCAAUUUGCAAACAUCUAACCUUGUUCAGUAAAGUGGUAUGACAUAGAUGGGAAACAACGGGUCACAAGGAUGGCAUGGAAGACAACACCUCUAUGGGAAAAGGUUAUGUAUGUCGGACUUUCGAAGUGUUGAUAUAGAAAUAAAACGAUUGAAUGAUGGAAGGUUAAUUGGGUGGAAGUAACUUAUGCGGUUAGAAUACGCUAUGGACGUUUUAGUUUAUACAAUAUUUUAUGCUUGGUCGUCAUCAUCUACUAACGGGUAAAUCCUCAAUUUAGGCGACUUGGAGAAUCGGAGCGAGCGCGUGUUCAUGUUAUGUCAUACCAAAUGCUUCCGCUAGCUUGUCCAAAUGUUUUUGGUCCAACAAUUUUUGUAAUGGUUUUUAGUAGUAUUUUGUUGAACGAAUUGUAGAAUUGUAUCUAGUUUGAUUAUGAUUAAAACAGGGGUAUGCCCGUUUUACGGACGGGUCAUGCCCAAAUUUUGUUAAAAUUAAUGCAUAUGUUAUUGAUAUCA